AAAAGGCACGACUGUGAACACUUUUUCCGCAAGUGAAGAAAUGGCGCAUGAAUAAAGGUGGUCACGUUCUGAUCCUGAAGCCAGCAACCACCUUUGCACAAGGGAUCGCCGGUGUCCAAGUCCCCGCAAGCGGAAGGACUACAUUUCCCAGCCGCCCUGGCCAGACCGCGUGGUCACGUGACCCGCGAAAGGCAAGCCGAAGUUUCAGGUGUUUAUUCUGGACCUUAAAGAAAGGGACCAGGGACGUUGGCUUCGCGUUUGCCUGCAGUCCUUGGUGAGCCAGUUAACGAUGAUACUCGGAGGACGGUAUCUUGGUCUGGGUUCCCUCAAAAGGAGACCCUGAGACCCAGGAUUUCCAGGGUAAGUAUUUCUUUGUGAGAUGGCCCCAGAAAACCCCAGGGCGGGGGGGGGCAGCAGCCAGUUACCACCAGGGACACCUGGGACCCAAUCCUGCUGGAGGGUUCUGGAAGGCAGCAUAGACCACACCUCGGAGCCGCCCUUCCCACGGGGGGCGGGAACGGGGCGCGAGUCCCCACGGCGCCUCGAAAGUCGUGGGUCGCGGCUGCCCCCUGGAGGGGGCGAUCUCCCCAACAUUUCCGGCGUGACCUCCGGCUGCCGGCGAAGGCUCUUAGGCGGACAGACGCGGGUGCCGUCUGUCGGGAACGGGGCGGGCACCUCCCGAAACGGUUACCCACUCUGACGCACAAAGAAUGCAUCUCAAAUUGCGGGGAGGGUUCCAACUUGACAUCUCCCAGCAGCGGCAAGAACAGGAAGAAGAACAAAUAGGAAACACACUCAUGGCAGCCAUGGCCCCCCCCAGGCAUUCAUUCACCUUAGGAGGAGGCGAGAUCACCGGCCCAUUUUACAGAUGAGGAAACCAAAGCCCAGAGAGGUGCCGUGACUGGCACAAGGUCACACAGCCGGUGAAGUGGCAGUGGGAUCGCGCGCCCAGAGCACUUGGGCACACGGUCCGGUCUCUGCACCGGUUGGCUCCAGCUGCCCCUCUGACUAAUCUCACUACAGGAACUGCCCUGAUUGUUCUACAAUCAUGCGAAUGGGCGCGGACACGCAACACGAAUCAUCAUCGGUUUGGUUGUGACAGUAACCCAACCACGUCAUUUCGGGAGUGAACGGCACGGAAUUCCAAACAGAAAUGUAAAUCCUAGGGGCGCCAGGGUGGCUCAGUCAGUUGGGCGUCCAACUUCAGCUCAGGUCAUGAUCUUGCCGUUCGUGGGUUCAAGCCCCGCGUCAGGCUCUACACUGACAGUGUGGAGCCUGCUUGGGAUUCUCUGUCUCCCUCUCUCUGCCCCUCCCCUGCUCAUGCUCUGUCUGCCUCUUUCUCUAAAAAAAUAAUAAAACAUUUUUUAAAAUGCAAAAAAAAAAAAAAAAAGAAAAAGAAAUG
rnacentral:lncRNA from 1 species